rnacentral:tRNA from 14 species
UGGCCCAGUCUUCAAAAGCAUCUUUGGCAAGCGCUUGCUGCUGCUGGUUCAAGUCCACC